ACGCCCCUCCCACAGCCCCAAACCCGUUCUCUCUCCCUCGCUCUCCUCCCCGACGACCUCUCUCUCCAUCUCUCCUCCCCGCCGCCGCCCUCUCUCUCCCAACUCUCUGGCUCUCUGCCGCCACCUCCCCUCCCCUUCUCCCUCUCCGCCUGCCUCCGCCGCUCCGCCCGCUCCCGCUGGAUCCAGAUCCGGCGCGGGGGGCAGCAGCGCCCCGUUCCUCCGCCCGGCUCUGCCACGGAGCUCCACCAUGCCGCCCCUCCUCCGCCCGACCUCACCCUGGCGCUCCUCAGCUAGACCCCAGGCGUCGCCGCCUAGGAUCUCCGGCACCGCCUCGAGCUUGGACGCCGCUGCAGCGCGGUCCGGCCAACGCCGGUGCUUGGGCGGGCACAGCAGCCCUCCCUGCUGCCCCUCUCUCCUCCCCCUGCUGCCCCUGGUGCGCGAGAGAGCUCCCCCCCCCCCCCCCCCUUCUCCUCUCCCUUGAUUCCUCUCUCCCUGCUGCCCAUGGCGGGCGACCCGCGCACGGGACGACGGGAGCAGUGGGGCACCGGUGAUGGGAGCAGCGGGGCGGAAACGACCUGUGCGCGGCGGUCGGAGAUGCAUCCCCGGUCUCCACACUGCUCCUCCAGCACCGUCGCGCCAGGGGAUGACCGUUUGCAGCGGCGGGGAGGAGCGAGGCGGCGACCCAUGCGUGGCUUGCGGGAGCCGCGGUGGCCGGCGCGGAGGAGCCUCCAGCAGGACCUCGAGCUCAAGCACAGCGACAAGCGCCGGAUAUGCUCAUGAAUGGCAGGCGCCGAGGGCUUGCAGACUGCUCCUCUCCACUUCCUCCCAUGUUGUAAUCGGUCUCCUGCAAGGCGCUACUCCCCUCAACCCUGUCGCCGACUGGCCGUCAUACUCUGCGCCGCCCGCCCAACCCGACGCCGUCGUCUUCAGAUAGCCAGCCCCAACUACGGCGUGCGGCGGGCUUCGGAGAAGGCGAAGCAGCGCCUACGUCUGUGCGUGGAGGCCGCCACACCGACGCCCUUUCCGUUCCUGUCCCUGCGCUGAUGCGACCUUGCACAGGAGGCUUUCAUCCCUGGCAGCGCUGGUCUCCCAUACGCUAAGCUCGACUGAAGGUCACCUUGCUAUGCUGACGAUCUCUGUCAUUCCUGGACUCUCAUAUAUGGAAUCAGAUCUCGAUGCCAUCCCUACUGCUAUCUUCUCUGACCACCUCUCUCACUCUCCCGUGUGUGGAUAUAGAAAUCAUAGGAUCAUCUUCCUCAAAUUGAAAUCCUCCUCAUGAUGUUCUCAUCUUUUUUUUUCUUUCCAAAUUUCAUCAGGUUUUGUUCUUCUUAGAUAGGCCCAACUAAAUUAAUCUUCUUGCUAAUCACAUAUUCAUUUGUUACAGCAAGAUCAACAAUUUACAGUCUUUCAGAUUUUGGCUACCAUUGUUUUGUGUUAAUGAUUGAGCUUUAUGAAUUACACUUUGAGCAUUUAUUUGACGUAUCAAAGAUGAUUCAGUCUGACAAAUGACAUUGGUACUUCAUUUAAGUGCUUUAACUACUGCUACUUGGUUUCUCAACAGAGGCGGAUUCAGUGCAGGCAACAGGCCUCAUGCAGUCCUGCCUGUUAUACUGUGUUAUAACUACAAGAUGCUAACCUUGGCACCCUUUGUAGGUUAAUUUAAGGUUCGUCAUAUUGCCCAGCAUUUGAGAAUUUGUCAAUAUCGAUUGCUCAAGCCAUGGUCAAAAAAAUCUGAACUUUAUCCAGAUGCCAUUUUGCUUAGACAAAUGCUUUCUGCUUCUUUUUCUGGCAACCUGGAGGCUCCUACAUUUUGAUGGACUAUUCAUGCCUGCUUUAACACUCAGUCAGGUUUGUGUUACAAUUUUGUGUUCCUUCAUGCUAUGGCUACUUGAAAGUACUUCUUUCUUCUUCCGUUCAAUUUCAAUCAUUCCAAAUCCUGCAAGAUCAUGACAAGGAAGUAACACUGGGCAACUGGAUGGUUGAUUUGUGUUUUUAGUUUUGCUUCAAAUUUCAUAUACAUGUUGUCUUUAGUCAGCCUUACCGGAUCAACCUUUCUUUAUUAGCAGGUUUUAACAAGCAAAACUGAAGAUAUACGUGGUCGUUGGAUACAAAAAUAUAAGUGUAUUGUUUGAUUAAUAUUAUAAGAAUACUGCUACUCUUUUUUAAAAUUAAGAACCCGUGAUCAGGGGUGUUCGUGAAAAAAAAUUAUGAACCAUUGAAACAAAUUCAUUGGUUUAAGACUUUAAGUAAGCUUUCAAAUACAUCAUUAAUUUGCUCUUCAAUGCAUGAGACAGAUGAACCACUAAACAAAUUCGUUGGUUUAAAUAACAUAUCAAAUGCAUCACCAACUUGCUCUUUGAUUAAUACAUGACAAAUAUUAAAGCAGAGUAAAAUAUCACAACGGAAGGUCAAGGCUCUCCGUGAAGAUUUGCUUUGAUGAUGGACGAUGAAGCCACCUCUUGCUGCUAUUCAAGAACAAAUCUAAGAAACUGUUAUAAUUAGUACUUCUAUCAUGAAAGUUUGUAGCAUGUUGGAUCGUCUUGGCUCAGGAUUUCAUGUUGCCUAGGUCAUUCGGGUCUGGAACUGUAGUUAUUUGCAUAUUGACAUAUCUUGGUUAAUUUAGUGUUUUCAAGUCAUGUGAUUACAGAAAUUUUGUACUCUGGUAUAGAUUAGUACCUUCAUUGGCUAAUAUGCUAUGUUUUUGCCAGUGAAUAUAUUUAAUUUUUUAUUGC